AGUGAACGCUGGCGGCGUGCCUAAUACAUGCAAGUCGAACGGAGAUUAAGUAGCUUGCUAUUUAAUCUUAGUGGCGCACGGGUGAGUAAUAUAUAGCUAACUUGCCCAUUACUAAGGGACAACAGUUGGAAACGACUGCUAAUACCUUAUACUCCGUAUCUAUAUAAGUAGAUACGGGAAAGUUUUUCGGUAAUGGAUAGGGCUGUAUCGUAUCAGCUAGUUGGUAAGGUAAUGGCUUACCAAGGCUAUGACGCGUAACUGGUCUGAGAGGAUGAUCAGUCACACUGGAACUGAGACACGGUCCAGACUCCUACGGGAGGCAGCAGUAGGGAAUAUUGCUCAAUGGGGGAAACCCUGAAGCAGCAACGCCGCGUGGAGGAUGACACUUUUCGGAGCGUAAACUCCUUUUCUUGGGAAAGAAUUAUGACGGUACCCAAGGAAUAAGCACCGGCUAACUCCGUG
rnacentral:rRNA from 1 species